GCUAUAGUAGUGUAAUGGUUAGCAUAUUAGACUGUGGAUCUGAUGGUGCGGGUUCAAUUCCCGCCUAUGGCC
rnacentral:tRNA from 1 species